AGAGUUUGAUCAUGGCUCAGGACGAACGCUGGCGGCGUGCCUAACACAUGCAAGUCGAACGGAGAUAAGCGCUGAUGAUUUAGCUUGCUAGAGAUUCUUGCUUAUCUUAGUGGCGGACGGGUGAGUAACGCGUGAGCAACCUGCCUUUCAGAGGGGGAUAACGUCUUGAAAAGGACGCUAAUACCGCAUGACAUUAUGGAGCCACAUGGCUCUAUAAUCAAAGGAGCAAUCCGCUGAAAGAUGGGCUCGCGUCCGAUUAGGUAGUUGGCGGGAUAACAGCCCACCAAGCCGACGAUCGGUAGCCGG
rnacentral:rRNA from 1 species